CAGCAGCCGCGGGAAUACGAGGGGGGCAAGCGUUGUUCGGGUUUAUUGGGCGUAAAGGGUGCGUAGGCGGUUUGGCAAGUCUUGUGCGAAAUCUUCGGGCUCAACCCGAAGCCUGCACGAGAAACUACCGGGCUUGAGUAUUGGAGAGGUGAGUGGAAUUUCCGGUGUAGCGGCGAAAUGCGUAGAUAUCGGAAGGAACACCUGUGGCGAAAGCGGCUCACUGGACAGUAACUGACGCUGAUGCACGAAAGCUAGGGGAGCAAACAGGAUUAGAUACCCGAGUAGUCCCUGUCUCUUAUAC
rnacentral:rRNA from 1 species